AGAGCUGAAUCAGAUGCUCCUCUUGGGCUGUGCCACCAGUGGGUUUCUGAGGAUCAGACCGGGGCAGCUUGGACUCGUCGGCCUGUAUGUGCUUUCAUAUCUCCCCCGACGGUGGGGUUUCCCAGUAGGAGGGCUGUCUGGAGAGUUCCCUCACCCCGCUACGCUGGCCGCCUUGGGUGUCCGAGGGGGAGAGGGGUCAGGCCAGGGUCACGGUCAGGUUCUACAUCAAGGAGGUCCCGGGGAGCCUUGCCAGGGAGGCCAAACUGAAUCAGGACACCCGGUUUAUGAGUGAGAUGCCUCUCGGAGGUCGUGAGGUUCUGGUCAAGCUGCUGUAAAGGCAGGAUGGAGUCCCCUGCCCGCUGCAUGGCGCUCAACUGUGAAAUCCCAUUCUGGCUGGCUCGGGAGAUCAGUGACUCGGAGAGCAUCCUGACGAGUUUUCAAACCUCUCUCCCUCCCACCCUGCCCAUCUGGUACCCCCUGGGGAGGUCCUCAGUACGGCCUGCCUCUGCUCUGUCUGGCUGUAUCCAUGACUGUCUCUCUGGGGCACCCGGAGGAUUCUGUCUACACAGAGGCUCACACCCACAACAUACGGUGUUUCAUCUGGUGGCUGGUACAAACAGGGAUGUACAUAAACCCGGAUAUAAUAGUGUGAACUGCUUACUAAUCAUGUUCAAGUCUCUUUUCAUUCUCUGCCAAUGCACAGGAUCAAAGGCAGUCUUUGACAACACUGGAGCUUUGGAGAAGCUGGCCGCCUUUCUCCUAAGGCCCUACCUGGGUUGGUCAUGACCUACUGCAAUGGGGAAAGACAGUGCCAAUGUUCUGGGCCCUGGAGGGCAUUUCUUAACAAAAACAAUCCUAGGGGCAAGAUCUCCCCUCCAUGACUGACAGUGUCUAGUCACCCAGCAAAAGCUCCAACCCAGGGAGGAACUUGUCAUCCAGGAAGUGUGCUCAACAUUGUCCACGCACGCACGCCAAAACAAAACAGUGCCCACAUUUGUAGCACACUGGCAGGAGGGACACGUAGGCAUAUCUGGUGUCAGGAACAAUCUGCUGGAGCUUGUGCGCAUUUGUGUCCA